UUUAAACUUUAAGCGCCAGGACUAAGGAAGGACGGCUCCUUAGUUGACGAGGUGGAGGUUUAUCGAGCAAUCGGCGGAUGCCUCCCUGCUGCGGGUCACAGCAGUAAGUCAUAUACAAACCACAGGGGCAACCUUGUGUUUAAAAUUAUGACAUGACCCAUAC
rnacentral:ncRNA from 2 species